UGGGGAAUAUUGGACAAUGGGGGCAACCCUGAUCCAGCCAUGCCGCGUGAGUGAUGAAGGCCCUAGGGUUGUAAAGCUCUUUUGUGCGGGAAGAUAAUGACGGUACCGCAAGAAUAAGCCCCGGCUAACUUCGUGCCAGCAGCCGCGGUAAUACGAAGGGGGCUAGCGUUGCUCGGAAUCACUGGGCGUAAAGGGUGCGUAGGCGGGUUUCUAAGUCAGAGGUGAAAGCCUGGAGCUCAACUCCAGAACUGCCUUUGAUACUGGAAGUCUUGAGUAUGGCAGAGGUGAGUGGAACUGCGAGUGUAGAGGUGAAAUUCGUAGAUAUUCGCAAGAACACCAGUGGCGAAGGCGGCUCACUGGGCCAUUACUGACGCUGAGGCACGAAAGCGUGGGGAGCAAACAGGAUUAGAUACCCUGGUAGUCCACGCCGUAAACGAUGGAUGCCAGCCGUUAGUGGGUUUUACUCACUAGUGGCGCAGCUAACGCUUUAAGCAUUCCGCCUGGGGAGUACGGUCGCAAGAUUAAAACUUAAAGGAAUUGACGGGGUCAUAGCUGUUUCCU
rnacentral:rRNA from 1 species